GGGAAUGGCAUCAGUAUGAUGAUAUCAUCUGUGCAGAACCAUCUAAUAAUAUGUUUGAAUGGAUCAGAAAAGCUGUUUGGCCUGAUCAUAAGAAAGGUGUACUCCAGGGGAGACAAAUUGCUGGUACAGUCAUGCUGGGAACUAUCUUUGAUCUCCUGAGAAGCUGGAGCAAAAUGAACCUCAGCAACUUCUUUAGUCAACUCAGACAGUUUUUUGAGGUCUAUGGAAACCCUUUUGUGUUUGAAAAGACACAUACAAAAUGGUACUCACUUGAUUACAGUGAAAAAGAUGUGAGAACGCUUCUGAAGCAGUUCAUGCUGGAGCGAGUGACUCCCGAGUUACAGAAAGACAACGAGGAAAAGAGUGAAUUCAUCAUGGAGCCACUGAAGGCUGGUCUUAUUAUGCUCUAUGUAUGGCAACAGUAUCAUUUAGACUUAGACAAGGGAACUCUUUCUCGUCUCUGCACUGCCCUGUGCCUGCCAAAAUUGCCUAAAGAUAAAUUCCUAUCUUUCUGGACAGACAUAACAGAAUCAUUCUCAACAAUAAAAAACUUGUCUGACAUGGUAAAGGAACUAAUCAACAGAGUGAGAGCAGAGGACAUGUCCAGAUGGAUCAUUGUAAUUCCUCUACUGCACCUUCUCAAGGGCCCUUCAAAACCAUUUGAGCCAGUGUCUACUAAGGUCAACUCACAAAAUGAGAUGAGCUGGGCUGGACUGCAGGGACUCAAAUCAGCUAAUAUAACUUCCACCAGAUCUCAGGAUCGAAGGUACUAAAUUUGUCUGUAGGAAUCAAAUUUUUUUUUACUGCAAUUUUAAUGUUGCAGUUCUGUGUUACAUCAUGUUAGUGUUAAACUUUUGAACACAAUUUAAUAUACGACCAUAUUAAUAUAUGAUUAAAAUAUCAUUGAUGUCUGUUGAUUCCAUAUAUUUUAGGGCAAUGCUCAAUCUCAUGAUGAACCAUGGACAUUUGGUGGAGGUGGACAAACUGCUGGCACGGUCUUGGAUGUAUCUGAUGACAGUAGAUGAGUUGGUCGAGUGCAGCUCUAUCAUCCAAGCAGAGCUCCUGGACAUUCUACAGAUUUUCACCAUGAAAUGCCCAAUUGAUAUAAACUACUUAACAUCCACAAGUGUAGCAGAGAUUCUGGCACACAUUCAAAGUUACUUGCUCGAAAAAAAAUACAGCUGUCCAAAUGAGGAUUAUGGCAUUCAGUGCAUACAAGCAACUUGUAAACUUCUACAAAAGAUCUGCGAUCUAGUUCAUUACUACAGCUAUGGAAACAAUUUCACUGAUAUUCCUGUUGCUUGCAUGAACCUUGUCGCCUCUGUAUCAGGAUUUGCCCAGACAUCACAACAAGCAGACGCUUUUUCUGAGAAGAUACUUGCAUUACUCAAUGAGGCCAAGCAAACUGUCAGAGCAUGGAGCACACAAACUUUAAAAGGUAGACUUUUAAACAGAGGUUAUGUGACGUGUGCCAACUUCACUACAGAAAUUGAGAUUUGGAAUAACAUUAUAGCCAUAGAGUUCAUGAGUAAGGACUUCACUAAAGAAUGGAGAGAGACAUUUACAACAGACUUUGAGGGGAAAUAUCAACAGGUAUUAAUUACACUGUUUCAGUAUACAUGUUAAGUUUGGUUGGAAAAUGGUCCAAUAUUUUAUAUAUUUUGUUAAAAAAUACAAAUAAUUAAAAAUUCAUGACUUUCAAUUUCAUUAACUUCAUUAAAUAUCUUCAUUAUUCCACUGGUGUGCAGGGAACACUAUUAAAUAUUCUAACAGUAUGUCCUGCACCAAUACUGAAUCUAAAGUGUCACAGCAAAAUAAAUUAUGUCACAGUUCUGAACUUUCAAUCUGGAUUGAUAAUUACUAUCAAUUUAUAUGUACUUUAGGGUCAUCAGAUAUGAAUUAGUUUAAUUAUUGACAUUUUAUGUAAAUAAACUAUUUAUUUUUACUUUUAUUAGGAAGAUCAACUGGAUCAAAUCCAGGUUUAUUGUUCAAAGAUUGAGGAACUUAAUGGCUCCCAUCCUUAUUUGGUGGGUAGUGUCGAGAAGUGUGCUCUCCAGGCUGUUACCACAAUAUGCCAGGUAAAGGCCUUUCACUUUGUUCUCACUGGCUUGUUCACUGCUGGCUUGAAAUGCUUAGUGCUAGGGAUUAAGACCAAAAUAUAUUGUAUAAUAUUUAUUCCUGUGUGUGUGCAUGUAAAGGUAUAAUUCACCCAAAAAUUAUAUUUGCUUACUUCCUAAUUAGGUAGUUUCAAGCAAUUUUCUUUCUUUGUGGAAAACAUGUAAGGGAUAAUGUACGGACAUUGUCUAAAAAUCCUACUUGUAUAGGAUUUCCUUAGCAUUCCACAAGGAAAAAUAAUCCAUUACAAUGUACAAAACAAUCAGCCAACAAGAACACUGCAACAAUUUUAGAGCUGAUGUCCUCCGAUUUAAUUUUCAGUAGAGUCAAUAAAUUAAGAUGCAGAUGAUAGCAGUUGUGCUUGUAUGAAACAAGACCUCUGAACAUCUAACCUCUUACUGCUGCAAAUGACCAAUCAGAAUCAAGUACUGUACCAGUAUUGAGCUGCACAGUUUCAAUGCAAAACAAGGGAAAGCACUUGACGCGAAGUGGAAUAAACGGUGACAAUGUUAAUUUUGGUUUCAAAAGUCAUUAGCACAUAGAGAUAAAAAUUAAUUUGAUGUUAGACUUUUCUGUUCUUUGGAAUUUUCAGUGUUUAAGCAAUACGUUGUUGAAAGUACAUGAUUUCAAAUGUCUUUGUGUGGUAUUGAGUAUGUGAAGUGUACACUUACUGUGCAGACUUUCUUUAACAGACUAAAUCCGAGGGGAAACUUUUUGAGAAAUUAAACGAAUAUCGGAUAAACUGGAAAUUUGGAAAACUUGUGUCUACCAUCAUCCUAAAGUCCUGGCCAAAAGAUGACAAAGGAACCUAUCUGGAGGAAGAAGAAGUUGUUCUCAAACAUCUUCUGGGCUGGACAGCAGCUAAGAAUGUCUUCCAGCUUCAUGGUAUAUGGUUAUUAUAAUUAUAUGGUUACAGUGUUUACCAUUAAUGAGACAGAAACAGCAUGACAGUUGUUAUUUAUUUAUUUGUUCUGCAGGUGCUGAUGAAAAACUGAUUGAUCAGCUUUCUGAUGAGGCUAGAGAGAAAUUUGCCAUGGCAACCUCAUUAUUCUCAAACAUUUUAAAUCAAGUUGUGAAUGGGAAAAUAGCAAUAAAGCUACUUAAUCACAUACUGCAAAAGCGGAGUGCUUUCUUUGAGCUUCUUAAAUUAGGUAAAACACCUAACAUGUGUGAUUUGACCCUUUUACCAUACAAUAAUGUGAAGAGUCAUUACCCUACUGUUUUUACAGACUGUUUUUGUGAGAAUGAAAAAUACAAGGACACCAUUGCCAUGAAGAGACUCCUUCAGUCUAGACAAGAGGAGGUGAAGUCUAUUAAUCACGAGAGAGCACUGGUGGAUGCUCUUAUUACAAUGAGCCGCAAUCUGCAAGAGCAUGUGAUGGGUAUUAUAUAUGCUACAUUAUCUGCUGAUCUUCUGACAAUAACAGAUCUCUUUCAUAAAGAUCACAAUAACAGAUUAUUUUCUUUUUAAUACU
ensembl:lncRNA